rnacentral:rRNA from 1 species
GACUACACGAAGCCGGAAUCGCUAGUAAUCGCGAAUCAGAAUGUCGCGGUGAAUACGUUCCCGGGUCUUGUACACACCGCCCGUCACACCAUGGGAGUCGGAAAUGCCCGAAGUCAGUGACCUAACCGAAAGGGAGGAGCUGCCGAAGGUGGAGCCGGUAACUGGGGUGAAGUCGUAACAAGGUAAC